GAAAGUGAAGAAAAAGAAAAAGAAAGAAAACAAAAGAAAAAGAAGAAGAAAGUAAAAAGAAGAUUGUGGACAGUUAUUGGGAAAGUUUUUUGAUAACUCUGAGAAGGACAAGGGUGAAAAUCUUUGACUUGCUUGAUUUCUGGAAAAGUUAUAAGAGGACCUGAUGGAGGAUAUGAUGUUUAGAGACACUGCCACCCUCUUGAGGUCAUGAGGCAUUAUUAGGACUUAAAAACCCAUUUGGUAAUAUGGGUAAAGUAGAAUUAUAUACAGAAUCUGGAUCUUUACUGUUUUUACUAAGAUGCUGACCAUGCCUAUAUUCUCCAAACUGAAAUCUCUAAAAUACCUUCAUCAUUUGUAAAAUUAUUCUUCCUUCUUUUAUAAGAUAGUUAAGUUGAAGAGCCUGUCUUGCCUUAGACCUUCUGGUCAGGAGAAGAUGGACACCAUGAUG
rnacentral:lncRNA from 1 species